AGAGUUUGAUCCUGGCUCAGGACGAACGCUGGCGGCGUGCCUAACACAUGCAAGUCGAACGGAGUAUUCAUUUAUGAAUACUUAGUGGCGAACGGGUGAGUAACGCGUAGACAACCUGCCUCUAAACUGGGGACAACACCGCGAAAGCGGUGCUAAUACCGAAUGUGGUAUCUUGGUUGCAUGACCGAGAUAAGAAAGAUGGCCUCUACAUGUAAGCUAUCGUUUAGAGAUGGGUCUGCGUCUGAUUAGGUAGUUGGUGAGGUAACGGCUCACCAAGCCCACGAUGGGUAGCUGGUCUGAGAGGAUGAUCAGCCACACUGGAACUGAGACACGGUCCAGACUCCUACGGGAGGCAGCAGUGAGGAAUAUUGCGCAAUGGCCGAAAGGCUGACGCAGCGACGCCGCGUGAGGGAUGAAGUCCGUUAGGAUGUAAACCUCUGUUGUAGGGGAUGAAUGUUCCCGUUCACCGGGAAUUGACCGUACCCUGCGAAUAAGGAUCGGCCAACUACGUGCCAGCCGCCGCGGUAAUAC
rnacentral:rRNA from 1 species